rnacentral:rRNA from 1 species
GCCGUAAACGAUGGGCACUAGGUGUGGGGGGUUACCAACUCCCUCCGUGCCGAAGCUAACGCAUUAAGUGCCCCGCCUGGGGAGUACGGCCGCAAGGUUAAAACUCAAAGGAAUUGACGGGGGCCCGCACAAGCGGCGGAGCAUGUGGCUUAAUUCGACGCAACGCGAAGAACCUUACCAGGGUUUGACAUGCACUCGAAACCCAUGGAAACAUGGUCCUCCUUCGGGACGGGUGCACAGGUGGUGCAUGGCUGUCGUCAGCUCGUGUCGUGAGACGUU